UCCAACCUAGCUACUUUAAAGUAUCUCUAUGCUGUUCAUUCAAGGCUUCAUAUUUACAGCAUAGAACAUGGAAGGUGUAGCAGAAAUGCAAGUCACUGAAGCAGUGAUUGAGCACCUGGUGGGAAGGCAGGGCCAACCCAGGGGAGCUCAGGUGCAUGCAGUGGAGCCAAGAUCCACCCCUUCCCAGCCCUCAUUUAAGGGCUGGCAGUGGAGGUGAGGGGACCUUGCUGGAGAUCCCUGCAUAACUGAGGCCUUCUAAAGGCCACAUACAAAAGAAAAGGGAUGAAGAAAUGAGAGAAACAUUAUCCAAGGUUGAAGAAAUGUAUUCUUCAGUUUCCCAGUUAACAGACUCUCCGGAGCGUGACUCAUAAGCCCUUGCAGCUCAAACAGCAUUGCAGAAUGAGCUACCAGCAACCUCUUUGUCCUUCACGUGAUGUUACUGAAUCAGCUCAAGAUAAUUCAUACCUUGGAGCAGCCUCACAUUGCAAGAAGGAGCGUUAUUUCUCAACAUAGAACAAACAGAAGACAGAAUUAACUCCAUCUUAUAGCUGCAUUACCACCCUGCUAUUCACUUCCUGACUUCAGCUCAAGUGCCUACAGGCCCUGUCCUGCUAAGCUCUGUACAAGGCCUGACAUUUGACACCCAAGACCCCAGGACUUACACAGAGGCACAAGCGGAGGCCCUGGGGAAGAGGUUGACCUAUGGACUCUGCCAAAAAAAAUCUUCCAUGUGAACUUGAGUUUGCAAGGCCCUUUUUUCUUUCCCAAAAACUCUGUGUUCUGAAAAAGGACAUCUGUGACAAGAUGGAACUUGGCACCAGUAACUCAUGUACUAUGGGUGAAGCAUGCUCAGAAGAGGCAGACCCAGAGGUAGUCCUGCAUCUUGUAAAUGGCUCUGCGUGAAUCCGGAGAACUGCAUGUGAUUUGUCAGGAAGCUCCUGCUUCGCAGUGGUUUCGCCAGGAACGAAGCCCAACUUUUUUGAGUCAGUUACUUGGGAGUUAUCAGUGGAAUCUAGGGAAGAAAGGAAAAGCUUUUAUGGAACUUUAUCACAUAAUAUAACUAGUCAAGAAAUCUGUUUGGUCCACUACGAUGUUCAAAAAUCCUUUGAGGAACUUGAAGAAAUGCUGGAACACACAGCUAUUUUCUUCUACUAGAUCCAGAUCCAGAUGGAUAGAACACCCUAUUGUGAAUGCCUGGCCACUAGACAACAUUAGCUUCACAAAAAGUCUGGAGGCUAUAGUUAACCUGGAAAAGCAUAGCUCUGAACUGGAAACGGAGAGAACCUACAGCAAAAUGUAAAUGUGAACUCAUGUGAGUGAGGAGGUGAAGCACUGUUCUGUAAAGAAAAGCAUGCAACAGCCCCUGGAGCCAUGGCCCUGUUGAUUAAGGCACUAGUGUGAACUUUCUUUGUAGCAAGGUCUGUAGAUGCUUUUAAUUUCAAUAUAAUAAAAGGGAAUUAGGCAGGUAUCAAGACUAUUUCUAUUUUCCAGCAACAAAAAGAAAAAGCAAGCCUUGUUAUUUGACAAUUUUCUUACAUGGAGAUAUUAAGUAAAUCUUGUGGCUUAUUUUUCUUUUUUUUUUGAAUAGGUCCUUAUUUUCCAGAUUUUACAUUCAAAGAGAUAUACUUUAUUCAGUUCUUCUAGACCAAGGCUGGACUCCUUCCUAGCCAUAGACAGAGAUUCUUUGAAAUUGUUUUCAAAGUCCAAUGCUGGCUGAAACUAUUUUAGGUCUUGUCUUUGCUACCUUGGCCCUAUCUGAAAGGAAGAAGUUUGCCCUUGAAAGAGAGUUAAACUGCUGUGAUUCACCGACUUGGAAGAAUUGCAGGAUGCUGACUGCCUGAAGUGGUGCCUCCCGCUGGACCAGUGCAAGUUUCCUUCCUUCUUGUCUGACCAAGCCAUUAAGAAGUUAGUCAGUUCCCUGAAGGUUACUUCCAAGGAAUCUACAAAAAGGAAAUAUCCAGCCCUGGAAAGGUAAUUUACCUAGACAGGAUUUGAAAUGCAAGGUACUCAGUUGAGGGAAGAAAGUCCUAUAUCCCAUCUGGCUGCAAGAAUGCAGCUUCACAAGCUUUUUAUCCCAUGAGCUAACAACUGCAGACAUUCUACUGGGAGAUGUCCUAUAAAAUCUGAAGUACUUGGAGAUCCACAUUUUCUCUCAUCUGGCCUGUUCAAGUCAGAACUGUGGUGCAUCGGUGUUCUCAGAGAAACAGUUUUGGGUAAAGCAGCAUCCUCCUUUUGAGAAUGGUUUGAAUCCUCAUCUGUGUGUGAUGUCUCCUGAACAGCAGCUAUUUUUGACUUGGUCGAGGCACACAUGGGAGGAAAUGCCAGCUAUCUGCCUUCGGGGACUAGCUGUAACUUGCUUCCUUUGUUCUUAAGGAGCAGAUCCCCAGCUGGUGUGAAAUGGCAUUUCAGAAGUGCUACUCCUGUGAGAAGCCAGUCCUAAAGCCUGCCACACUGAUGGAGCCCUUUGCUCAGAAGCAAGUCUCUGGGCCAAAGUAUGUUUUACUUUACCCAGAAACAGUGACGUUAUUUGAAAUCAAAGAGACUUUUAGGCUGAGGAAAGUGUGCUCAAUAUGUGAUUUUUAGGGUCAGAGAUAGAAUGAGAGAAUUUCCUUUUACUUCCUUCUCCUUCUUUAAAUCCCAGUUUACUCUGGAGGAAAAUGCAAUAGAAAGUAAUUUAUAAAGGGAUAGAGUGACUGCACGGAAAUUCUAGUCUGAAUUUGCCCCUUCGGUCCCUUUUGCAAAUGAAAUUAGUCAAUUAAGCGAGACAGGAUUGGCCCACAGGAUGGCUAUAGUUUAAAAUAUGUUUUUUCCCAUCACUUCUUUCUCACUCCAGCCACACAACAACACAAUAGCACAUGCAGAAAUGUUGAAGAUAUCUUCAUAAAACAACCCCUCAAAAAUGAAAACAAUAAAACCAGCCCCCUCCAAAACACACAUGCAUACAAAUCAAAAGAAAAAGUAAUUGGCCCAAAAAAGUGUCUCCUAAGUGUCAGUAUAAUGAAAAACCUUGACAACCAUCUGAAAACCCAUUCAAUACCCAGAUGCCUCUUUGUUUCAAGUUUUGGGAACAUUUACCUGCUUGUUCAAUAUACUGGGCUUAAAGCAUGCAAAAUGAUGCAACAGGAGGAGUUUGUGAAAACUCCUUAUUCCAAUCUCUAUUAUGAAUUCAGAAAGUGAAGUUCUGUAGAUCAGAUGUACAAGUUGCUUCCUUUUCUUUCCUCCUUGCUUCGCUCAGUCACCGUGCCUGUUUCCUAUCUAUUGAAAGUGAUUUUCUUUCAGGAUUUGCUCUUCACUGUGCUCUGCUGAUACAACGUGGCUCUACAAGUGCUGGAUAUUCUCAUUGUGAAAAAGAAUAUGCCUGAUUUAUGUAUUUAUUCUUUUA